rfam:Sarcophilus harrisii ctg7180001610426, whole genome shotgun sequence.
GGGAAACGGGAUGAGGGGCCCAGCCCCAGGGCCCCAGGCAAAAAACAGAAGGGGCA